rnacentral:rRNA from 1 species
UUUCCAGGUUGACCUCGGAUCAGGUAGGGAUACCCGCUGAACUUAAGCAUA